CAAGCCUUUAAAUUACAUUUUUUUUAAUCUCACAUUUCAUAAACAUUCAUGUACCAUAGUGUCCAUCGCAUUACGAACUCAGUAUUUCGUUGAACAUAUUUUAAACACCCUGCUACCUUCAAUAUCAAGAGGUACUAGUAGACUAUCCUCACAAUUCUAGGUCCAUCAGGCUGCCCCCAAGGUCUUACUGGGCUACCCUCAAUACCUGAGGUCCUGCUUGGCCACCCUCACAAUUUUAGGUCCAUCAGGCUGCCCUCAAGGUCUUGCUAGGCUACCCUCAAUUCCUGAGGUCCUGUCAGGCCACCCCUGAGGUCCUGCUAAGCCCACAAUCUUUCAUCUAUUUUCCUUUUCCAUUAACCAUAACAUUAACUGCAUAAUUUCUCUCAUUGUAAACAACCCAAUGCACUUAAAUCCGAUCGAGCACGUACAAUGUUAUUCAUCAAGAAAAACUAACUCAGAGCAUAAUACAUUUUUAUGAGAUAACAAGUAAAUCAAUUAAUAAUGUGCGAAUAAAUUGCAUAAUAUUUUAUGAUUGGCCGAUGCCUUUACGUUAUUAAAAUGUGUGAGUAAUUAUUUAAACACGUAAAUUAUCAAUUUUGUAAUCUUAGUAAUAUUUUUAACAACUCUAACCGUGACUUAUUUUUAUUGUUACACCAGCAAUAAUUUCACUUAUGUAUAUAUUUAGCUAUAUCCAAUUUUACAAAUGAAUAUGAUCAUAAUAUUUUUGUUAACCCUAAUAAUUAAUUGAAUGCCUACAUUAAAAUAAUAAUAGUAAUGUACGAUGAUAGGCCGAAACAUGAACGGUUAAUAAACUAAGGACUAACUGUAAUAAGUCAUUAGUUCUUUUGGGUUGAAAUCAUAUGUUAAAUAACCUCAGGGGUGUAACUGUAAUAAAAGUAUCCUCUUUUUUUCAAAAUCAUAACCUUCAUGUACAGUGGUUAUCAGAAAAACAAGGGAGAAAGACCUCCGCAACUCCGAGAUUGAUUUCUUUCCCUUUGAAACGUUCGAAACCAAUACGUAAAUAUUUAUUAUACUUAGGAGAGAGUAGGAGAAGCAUUUUAUCUACCUCGGAUUCGGUUGGAAAGCGAGAAGUGGGUUCCGGACGGUUUUGGAAAAAUUGGAGAAGACAACGGAGCACAGGACGCCGGGGCUGACUUCGGGUGAUUGGAACUGGGCUUUGUGAUGCCGAGGCACGGGUUAGGACAGGCGUAGGUCAAAUUGAUGUUCGGA